rnacentral:rRNA from 1 species
CACGUAGUUAGCCGUGGCUUUCUGGUUAGGUGCCGUCAAGGUACGAGCAGUUACUCUCGUACUUGUUCUUCCCUAACAACAGAGUUUUACGAUCCGAAAACCUUCAUCACUCACGCGGCGUUGCUCCGUCAGACUUUCGUCCAUUGCGGAAGAUUCCCUACUGCUGCCUCCCGUAGGAGUCUGGGCCGUGUCUCAGUCCCAGUGUGGCCGAUCACCCUCUCAGGUCGGCUACGCAUCGUGGCCUUGGUGAGCCGUUACCUCACCAACUAGCUAAUGCGCCGCGGGCCCAUCUAUAAGUGACAGCGUAAACCGUCUUUUAGCUUUUCUACAUGUGUAGAAAGAAUUAUCCGGUAUUAGCUCCGGUUUCCCGUAACGUUAGUCCCACGUCUUACUUAGGCAGGUUGCCCACGUGUUACUCACCGUCCGCCGCUAAUCUUUGGAGCAAGCUCCCAAAGAUUCGCUCGACCUUGCAUGUAUUUAGGCACGCCGCCAGCGUUCGUCCUGUGCCAGGAUCAAACUACUACCG